rnacentral:rRNA from 1 species
UACGUAGGGUGCAAGCGUUAAUCGGAAUUACUGGGCGUAAAGCGUGCGCAGGCGGUGAUGUAAGACAGUUGUGAAAUCCCCGGGCUCAACCUGGGAACUGCAUCUGUGACUGCAUUGCUGGAGUGCGGCAGAGGGGGAUGGAAUUCCGCGUGUAGCAGUGAAAUGCGUAGAUAUGCGGAGGAACACCGAUGGCGAAGGCAGCCCCCCUGGGUCAAGACUGACGCUCAUGCACGAAAGCGUGGGGAGCAAACAGG